AUGGAAUACAGCUUGCCCCAAGUCAUCCUCAACGCGUGCACACUUCUGAACCGCUCCAACGUCCUCGAAGGCGGGCGGGGUGGGGGUGGUGGUGGUGAGCCCCCCCCUCCCCCGCAGCCAGUGGCGCACGUCACUAAUCAGCUCCUUUUCCAAGAGUGGCAACCAGGGAGAGGAGGCAGAGUCGCAUCCCCAGGCUGGAGCCGCAAGAAGGAAGAGUUGGAAACCGGAAUGGCAAACUCCAAGAGCUCUGAAUGCUUCUCCCUCGCAGCGCGCUCGUCGCGUGUGGACCUCGGCCAGGGGCGCGUGGGAAGAAACAUGACCUAUUUUCUACGCCUGCCGCUGCAAGCGGGCAGCGGAGGACAAGGCGCGGGGGCCGGGCUCCCGGUGGUGGGCAAGAGAGGGCUGCAGGGAGAGGCGCCUGGGCCCCAAGCCGCGUGCGCCCGCCGCUGGAGGAAGGAAACCAAGGCAGCAGCCCGCCGCACGCAGUCCCAGCGCCCCGCGCGCGUUCCGGGCCCCGCCGCACCCCAGGGCGGCGCCCAGGCCGCGCCCUGCCUGCACCUGCCGCCUGCCCACGUCCCAGCGGCGGAGGGGAGCGGCGGGCGCGCGCCGAGCCCCCCUCAGGGCAUAGGCCGGCCCGGCCUCGGCGACCGCAGCCGCCCGGGCCCAAAGAGCUCGGCCGCAGCGCUCCGCCGGACCUCGGCGCCCGCUCGCCCGGCCUCACGGCGUCGGAAGCGGCAGAACCCUGGCCCCUCAGCCCGCGGGCCGCACGCGCGAGUCUGCCGCCCGCACUCACCUGCCCGCUUCGCCUACGCGCAGCGGCGGCGCCACACUCCGGCCGGGACCCCACCGUCCGCCUCAACCAACCCCCCAGGCGCGGUGGCGGGUGCGGCGGCGCGGCGGCGGCGGCGGCGGCGGUGGCGGCGGCGGCGGCGGAGGCGGCGGCGGCGGCGGCGCGGACGGGAGGGGCGGGACGGCGGCCAGAGACAGCCCCGCCGCCCAGGCCCUACCCGGCUCCGCCCGCCCCUAGGCCCCGCCCCACGGGCCGCCACCGCCGCCGUUCAUUGGCCCUCACCUCACACGCCUCGGCGCGGCCCCGCCCCGCUGCCCAGCCGCCCUUCAGUCAGGGUACUGCUCAGCCAUUGGGCGACGGCGACGGGGGCGGAGCCAGAUUCAAGGACCCAAUUGGCUAGAUUUCGCUCAUGGCGGUGUUGUGAUUGA
rnacentral:lncRNA from 1 species